rnacentral:lncRNA from 1 species
GAUAUUCAUAAGGAUCAAGCAUGUCCUGCUCUGAUACCAGUUGUUAGAAUUAAAUCACUAAAUUAGGAUUAAACACAUAUACAUGUUCAACAUAUUAUGACAUAUACUUUAGUGCGGAAACAAAAUAGUCAUAGAAACAUGUAUAAAAUUAUAGGAUCGACAAAAUGAUCUUUAGGAAUACCUGGAUCCAUGAUGAAAAGUUCUUUUGCAGUGAUCCUGAAACACAAAGAGAUGGUGGCUAGAUUGGUUCUUCCUCAACCGGUACCCUGAUGCCUUGAUUCUCUUCAGAUGGCGAGAAGAGAGUGUUUGCUUACGUACGGUGUAUUGGGGACCAUAGCCUUAUAUAGGGUGAUGGCCCAUUAGGGUUCCCAUUAUCCCGAAAUGGGCCAUCCUGACAUCCANN